CACCACCCUCCAGGGAGCCUCCUGCAAGCCGGUGAAACGGCUCUUGAUCCAAGGAACUGCACCAGAACUUCCUUCCUCUCCGAUUGAACUUGACUAUCCUAAUUAGUGUAUUGGCCAGGGUAACUACCAACACCACAAGAUGAGAAGACUCAUUUCCGCCAGUAUGUUGGCACAACCCUUAUUUGCAUAUCUUGAUACUUCGGUUGAACUUCGACUGAUGCUCUAUAGUCGACAUACCCACAUCUAUUUGAUGUGUCUAUGACGAAAGCAUGCCACUGUGGGACACUGAUAAUGACUUAGUGUUACUAUGUGCUAGUGUAAGGGAGUGCAACGGCAUGUUACAAAGUACUACUACAUCCAAAAUGUUCAUAUACAUUGUUCCCUAAUAUCUGGCUAAUGGAUUCCUCCUUUCACCAUCUACCGUCAU